UAUGAAUUUCUAGGAGAGAAAUUCUUUCAUGGUAAUGAUGUAUUAUCAAUAUUUACUCUGUUCUUAGGCCUAUAGGUUUCUUUUUGUGGGAUGCAAUUACGAUACCAUGUGAAUAUGAUCCUUGAGUUGCAUAUUAUUGCCCUUUUGGACAUAGACAUGUGCCAUGUAGUAUAACAUUUAUAAAGAAUGUCUUGGAAAUUGCAAGUAGAUGAUUACGGUUACCCUAUAACUUUAGGAGUAAGAUAUAUAUGGUGAUAGAAUCUAGAGAUACUUGUUAAUCUAUAACAAUAAGAUCCAGUCAAGUGCAAUAUGUUUUAUUCACAUAAACAGGGAAUCAAUCUGGCUGGAAGUAGUCAUCUUAUGGCGUGGCAUGAAGAGGUAGUUCACAAACCUCUGUUAGGUGCUCCAUCCUUUGUCACUCUGGUUUGAUUUCCUAAUAUCUGGCUUCUCUGAACAGAUGUGUGCAGAUCUGAGAAAGAAGAGGAAUAAUCCAGCAGAAGAAUUUGGUGAAUAAGAACAAGUUGGCAUUUCUCUCUUGUGAAC
rnacentral:lncRNA from 1 species